rnacentral:lncRNA from 1 species
UAUUUUUUCUUUUAUAGCUCUCAAAUCCUGGGACUAAAAGGCAUAGAAUCCCUUGUGAUGGAUCAAUUCAUGUUGCUCAUUGUGUCCUUGAACUGACAUAGAUCCAUCUGGCUGUUUCCUGAAUCCUGGGGUUAAAGGUGUGUGCCACCAUUGCCUGGCUCUAUGGCUUGCUAAAAUGGUUGCUGGGAUUAAAGACUUGUAUCACCACUCCCUGGUUCCAUGGCUUAUAGCUAGCUUUGCUUUCUACACGUGCAGAAAAGAAGAUUUGGUCAACAGUGUAGUUGGGUUUUGGGAUAAGGAUAUCCAACCAGAAGACAAAUACAUACUUGGGGGUAAUAUAGAAGUACCAAAUUAGAUAUAUGGAACUGUUCCUGGUAUCUGGAAGCUGAGAAGUCCUGAGGAUAAUAAGGAUGCUUCAUGUCUUAGAUGGAAGUCGAGCUCAAGAAGAGAGAAAGGGGUCUUGUUUCCCACCCACACCUAAAAUAACCAGGGAACAAAACUCCAAAGGACACCAAGGUGAUCCAAGCUGUGCAGCGAUGUGCAACUGGAAAAAUGAGGUCUGGCAGACAGAUUCACAACUCGAUGAGGAGAUUGCUUCCCAUCAGGUAUUUGGUCUACUAAUACAUAGCCCCCCAGUGUGGCUACAGAAACUGAAGAUGACAAUGGACAGAGAAUCUGAGAGCAUGUGAGAAGAACUGAACAGAGCUCUGGUCUUGCACAUCCAGAAACUUGAACAUUUUCUAAAAUGGUCCUUCUGCAUAAUGUUCC